CUCUACAUAGUGUACAUGGGGGAGAAGAAACAUGACGAUCCAUCUGUUGUGACCGCGUGGCACCAUGACAUACUAACCUCCGUACUUGGGAGCAAGGAUGAAUCCUUGAAGUCGAUGGUUUACAGUUACAAGCACGGAUUCUCUGGGUUCGCGGCAAUGCUCACCAAAACCCAAGCAAGGACUUUGGCAAACUUUCCUGAAGUUAUAAGUGUGAAA